CUGUCCUGCUGAUAGUUUUAUCUCUCGAAAGGCAAAGAAAGCAAUUAGGAAAGCCGUCGUUCUUUUUUUUUUUUUUUUUUAAAGAUUUUAUUUCUUUAUUUCACAGAGAGAGACACAGCGAGAGAGGGAGCACAAGCAGGGAGAGUGGGAGAGGGAGAAGCAGACUUCCCGCCAAGCAGGAGCCUGAUGCGGGGCUCGAUCCCAGGACCCUGGGAUCAUGACCUGAGCCGAAGGCAGACGCUUAACGACUGAGCCACCCAGGCGCCCCAAGAAAGCCGUCUUUCUUGACACAAUUCUGACAUCAAGGAAGAGCCAGCGGGCAAUGGACAAGGAAGUUCUGCUUAUCUUUGCAGGCAGAAGGGAAAGAGCCAGUAGGUGAAGCCGAAGCCACAGCAGACAAGGAAUAAAGCAUGGAGCAGGGGUCUGUCCCGGGGAGCCACCUGGGUCCUAGAAGAAAGGAGGUGAUGACAUGAGUGGAGAGAAAAAUAGUUGGGAUUCCCUGGCGAAAAAGUCCAAUAAGGUAAACCCUCGGAGCAAGCAAGAAGGAUCCUGAAGAAGAAAAUGAGUGGGAUGCAUCCAAGGAAGGCCAGGCGGGCACCAGACAGCUGUCUGCUUGGGCCCCAGGCACAGCACAGACAGCUGUGUUUGCUUGGCCAAAUCUAUUCAACAAUUGGAAUUUUUGUCUGUUCUGCUAUAAAACUGGAAUCAUUCUACCCACCUCAAAGAAUUAUUGUGAAAAUUAAAUGAAAGAAAGGGAAAAGAACCGCAAUUAUUCCCAAGCCUAGAUCCAGAAGUAACUUCUCCCGAGGGUCCUCAUAAAGGAGACAGUGUGUAACUGAAAUAAGCAAAGACUUCAAGGACUUUCGUGCAGUUAAAUGUAAUAUAUUACCUCCAAGAAUCCCUCUAACUCUGUGUUCUAUGAUUAUUUGUAAUUCAAAUUAGAGUAAAUUUUGUUAAAACAAAAGUCCCGACGCUGUAAAGGUAUUCUCAGCCUUAAAUGUUGGCCUGAUUAUUUUAAGCACCAUUCAGGACAGAUUAAUUCUAGGACAAGCUGAAUACGAAUAAAAUAAACCCGGGAGAACUUUCCAUUCUCCUCCUGAAUGGCAAGUCAGGGUCACACAUCCUCUACGCCGGUCUGUCCUGGCCUCUGCUAUGGAAAAGACUCAGUCUGCUCAUUCACAGGGACCAGUGACAAGCAUGGUUCUCCCUGAGGUUGGGCAGACCCAUGUGGACAACCAAUGACCCUAGUUGGGAAGGGGCUUGGGAAGCCUGUGGCCCUGUCUUCAGACAAUAUUGUAUCAAGGCCAGCCGACCACAUCCAUGACUAUCUUCAGAUGGCUCUUCUAAGUUAUCAUGCCAUACGUGGCUGGUCUUGCAGCUUGACCUUUUCUCUCACAGCCAAUCCCCCAAAACGAUGAGGCCCAUUAUCCUUAUAUCUGUUGUGAUCCAUUCUCUUGAUUGAUCUUAGACCCUACUCUCUGAACUGUUCCUAACCUGGCUGGCCCCCAACUGAAUCCCCACAUGUACUCAUGCAGCCCCUUUAAUUACAUGGUGUCGAAUCACCCUUGACACAUCCUUGAGGUAAUACUAACCAGUGCAGGCCCUCGUGGCCGAUGUUCCAUCUGAUUCAUCCUUCUUACUGGAUUUGAACAGAGUGAUAUUUGAUAGUCAUUCUCUUGUCUAACAACCCUCACUGACCCCACAUCAUGCCUCAUGUUAUUCCAUCCUAAAGUACAACUGAAUAAGACCAUGGCACUCUUUGAUUAUUACCACUUUCACUUCUGAUUUUUGGUAGAGAUAUAAUAGAAUCAGAAAAGGUCCAGAGAAGGGCAGCUGAAGUCCUCCAGAAACAGAAAAGUCUCCUUCAUAAGGAUGAAUUAAGGAAAUUAGGAGUCUGCAAGACAAAUAAAAAUGUUAGUAGGAAACAAUGUCCAAAUUUUCAAAAAGUCUUGGAGAGGGUAACAGAGCACUCACUCUUAAACCAAAUUCCAUAAUGCCAGACUGAGGCACCAUCCCUUGAUUCAUAAAGCAGUUUGAAAUCUGGAGCAGUGUGAAAGAAAUUACUAAUAACAAUAGAGAAACGGGUGACAUGGAGAGGCAGUAGGACUAAAAAUGUAAAAUGAAGGAGGGUUCAGAUAAAGCCAUGUGAAAAUCGACACAAGAGCAUGAUGAGGAAACUGAACAUCUCUAACCUCUGAAGACAAGCUCAACUCCCAAAGCACACGUCAAGGUGACUACCAAUAGCUGAGCUUUACCAGCUGUAGGACCUUACGUCCGUGUGUGGCCACCUGCAGUGAGGACUGAACGAGACCAGCCAUGUCAAAGUACUUCGCACAGAGCCUGGCACGCAGAGCCUCAA